rnacentral:rRNA from 1 species
UACGUAGGGGGCAAGCGUUGUCCGGAUUUAUUGGGCGUAAAGAGCGUGUAGGCGGCCAGGUAGGUCGGUUGUGAAAACUGGAGGCUCAACCUUCAGACGUCGACCGAAACCAUCUGGCUAGAGUGCGGGAUGGGAGAGUAGAAUUCCUGGUGUAGCGGUGAAAUGCGUAGAUAUCAGGAGGAAUACCGGUGGUGUAGACGGCUCUCUGGACCGCCACUGACGCUGAGACACGAAAGCGUGGUAGCAAACAGG